UUGUUGUUUGCUGUCAGUGUGCUACAUGUAACUGGCCCUACCCGUCACAAUGGUUUACUGUACCUCUGCAGUGGGAAGACACAGACCCAAACUAGACAGUGAUGAAGGAGGUGAGGAUAGACUACGAGUUCUACAGAUGAGGAACCAUGGCACAUUCAAUUUGAGAUGUGAGAAAACCAGAGGUCUGGUGGUCUGUGGAAUUUUAUUUUCACUGUAAUAAGAACUAACCAUUCAAGACAAUAAAUCAUAAAAAAAACACACUUGGACACAAUCAAUUCACCCAUCCACCAUCAAUCCAUUCAUCCAUCCAUACACCAAUUGACUGUCAAAACCAGUCCCCUUUUUGCUGCCACAACAGCUCUGACUCGUCGAGGCAUGGACUCCACUAGACCUCUGAAGGUGUGCUGUGGUAUCAGGCACCAAUACAUU